rnacentral:rRNA from 1 species
UACGGAGGGUGCAAGCGUUAUCCGGAUUCACUGGGUUUAAAGGGUGCGUAGGCGGGCAGGUAAGUCAGGUGGUGAAAAUCCUAGAGCUUAACUCUAGAACUGCCAUUUGAUACUAUCUGUCUUGAAUAUUUGUGGAGGUAAGCGGAAUAAUGUCAUGUAGCGGUGAAAUGCUUAGAUAUGACAUAGAACACCUAUUGCGAAGGCAGCUUACUACGCAUAUAUUGACGGCUGAGGCAACGGAAAAGCCGUGGGGGAUCAAACAGG